rnacentral:rRNA from 1 species
GAUGAACGCUGACAGAAUGCUUAACACAUGCAAGUCGAUGGGGAAGUGGUGCUUGCACCAUGGUAACCAUGGCGGACGGGUGAGUAACGCGUAAGGAACUUACCUGCGGGACCGGGAUAACAGCAGGAAACUGCUGACAAGACCGGAUAAGGUCAUUAAGCUGCAUAGCUUAGUGAUGAAAGGAGACGCCUGCGGAGAGCCUUGCGUCCUAUUAGCUAGUUGGAGGGGUAACGGCCCACCAAGGCGAAGAUAGGUAGCCGGCCUGAGAGGGUGGACGGCCACAAGGGGACUGAGAUACGGCCCUUACUCCUACGGGAGGCAGCAGUGGGGAAUAUUGGACAAUGGGGCAACCCUGAUCCAGCAAUUCUGUGUGCACGAAGACGGUUUUCGGAUUGUAAAGUGCUUUCAGCAGGGAAGAAGGAGGUGACGGUACCUGCAGAAGAAGCGACGGCUAAAUACGUG